rnacentral:lncRNA from 1 species
CAAAUUACACGUGGUCAACACCAAGAAGUUAAUUAAAUUCUCACUUUAGUAUUUAUUGAAAUCAUUCCUUUUAUACAUUAAACAAUAAAUAAUGAAAUUCAUUGAAAUAAGAUGAUGUCUUUAACAAACUUGAUAUUCAAUAAUCUCAUAAUCAUCCCAAAACCCGGUGUCAUAAGUGCAUGAGCUGUUUUUAGGAAAUCAAAUGAAGUGCAAUAACUGUCCGGAAUACAAAUUGGACAAGGUAAAUACUAUUCAUUGGGAGACUAUACCGGCUGCGGAUUGCCUCGAGAGAUGCAGCUCACCUAAGUCUCCGUAUCAUCCAUGCUGCUACGCCCAUUAGGCCGCUAGGGGUACAUGCGCCCGUGCAACAAAAAUGCACAACAAGUGUAGCAUGAGUACAAAAACAACGUGUACUCAGUAAGUAUCCCGUCUAAUCUCGAAGAAGUUAAGACGAGAGGUCGACUUCGACACUUACUAGUAGUCCAAUAAUAAUAUACCAAUAAUAUAGUAAAUCGAGGGUUUUUCUAAAAAUGGUUAUAACUCAAUAGCAUGAAGCAAGUAAACAAUUCUCUUAUUCAUAGGGAAAUUUCCAAAUUCAUUUUCAUCAUUUAUACGUUUAUCUCAGUCCAGAGAGAAAUAAAUAUCAACAUCUACGAAUUUCAAGGCAAGCAAUACAAGCAUGUGCAAAUCAUGUUGAAGUCGUACGGCCCGAUCCAACAAAUAUUUAAAUUGUGCACUGCCAGAGGGUCGAAUGGUGCGAACCAUAGAUGCAUCUAUUACCCCACUCGCGAAUCAUACAUGCGACACGGUCAAAUAUAAAUAAACAAUCAUCCCGCUCGCGAAUCAUACAUGCGACGCAGGUACAUAUAGAAACACGCAUUCAAACAGUCAAUCAAAACUUCAUCAGAGAAAAACAAUUACCCAAAAAAAUAGCAGUUCUCUUUAACAGUCAAGAAAAUGAUGUUUAAUUCCUUUAGAAAUUCAUUUACCAAUUCAAUAUGAUUUAAGCAUUUUAAAUCGACAACAAGAUUCCAAAUAUUUCAAGUAGAGCAUGCUUUUGGGUCCUAGACUACCCGGACUUAUGCAUAAUAGUAGCUACGCACUGACUCUCGUCACCUUGUGCUUACGUAGCCCCCACAAAUAGGAGCACAUAUCCAAUUAAUUCACAUAUGGGGAGAAUUCCGUCUUACAAGGUUAGAAAGGAGACUCACCUCGCUCUGAAGUCCACUUUUCGGUCCAAGAUUAUGCUCAAACCCUCAACUCGGUGCGAAACAAUCCAAAACCAAUGAAAUAGUGUAUAAACUAAUCAAUACAUGUUUAGCCACGGGAUUUUUUGUAUUUAGCUAUGAUAUACUUUGUAGCUAUAUAUGCAUAAUAUUGUAGUGACUGAUUUUUUUAUUACAACUAGAGGGGGACCUAUGUAUAGUGUUGAGGGGUCACCUGACCCCGUAAAUUUCGACAGAAAAUCUUGUAUAUUUAUAUGUGUACAAUUUGAAAAUGAUUAUAUAAAUAACUUGACACCUUAAACACUAAAAGUCUUUAGGGGCUGCUGGUCAAGCAAAAUAAUGAUGCCUCCAUCGUGUUAAAAUUCUGGGUCCGCCUCUCAAUACAACUAUGGGCUCAUUUCAAGAAACCUUGGGCGCAUGAACAUGAACCUGUCAGCGAUCUCCUAGAUGUUGUUAAGGUUUGAUCAAUGAGCUCCCUACACGUGAAAUACCACGUUGAAACACAUUUUGUAUGAUUUAACACUUUGAAAAACAAUUUAGGCCAUUAAGCCAACUGCUUUAAUUGGAACAUCUGGAGUUGGAAGCACAUUUACUAAGGAAGUGAUUGAGGCCAUGACCUCUACAAAAAAGGACUUUUCUUGCGCUAAAGACAAAAAUAAUUUGCAGAGACCUCUUGUCACACCUCCUUUUUCACACACCCGCAAGGAUAUAUAAGGGAGUUUUUUCAAUUUAAGUGACAAUCGAAACGGGGUUAUUUAUUUAAAAUUGAGAGUCGCCACUUGGGAUAAUUUAUGGUGUCCCAAGUCACCAGUUUAAAUCCCGAAUCGAGAAAAGAUUGACUCUUUAUUUAUGGUCCGCGAACACAGAAAUCUGGAUAAGGAAUUCUGUUAACCCGGGAGAAGGUGUUAGGUAUUCCCGGGUUCCGUGGUUUUAGCACGGUCGCUCAGCUAUUAUUAUUGGCCUAAUUAUCUGAUUUUUUGCACGUUUUAAACCUAUUGUACCUUUUUUAACCUUUAAGCCGCUUUUAUUUAUUUAAAGAAUUAAUUCAAGGUUAUUUAAAUCAUAUCGCAAGCCACACUACAUGAAAUGCACCCGUGAUUCAUGACACGUUCUAUUUAACCUUGUUGGAAAUUAGAAUCGGGUCACAUGAAAUGCACAUCCGGAUUGAGAUUCACGUAUCAUAAUCAUGUCAUGGGAACCGUACCCGUAGCCACGAUGAUUCAUUAUUAAUCGUGCCUAGAGCAACUGCGUAUUUGACUAGACUGAGAUGUUCUUACGACUCAGUAUCAAGUUUGUUUUGGAGGUACUACAGAACGUGGUAUUGAUAAAGUUUAUACAACAUGAUUUUUUUAAAAAAAUUGACUCGGGUUUUGAAAGAACAGUUCCUUAACACGAUCAUGCUCUAUUGUCAUUAACCACAAUGCGUGAGUCGUCUGGGUGCAACGACAUUAGUUCCUUCCUAACCUCCUCGAUACUGGCAUUAUGAUCCUUGGUCAAUUGCUCAACAAAUUUUUUAUUUGAUCUACCUAUAUGACCUAAUACCGCUCUAGAAUCACCAAAGUUAGUACAUACAACGUCCUUUUCCAGAUAACACCAACCAGACAACAACAACCCUUUGUUUCAAUUAAUGGUGUAAUACCAAAUGCUCUUCCCAUAAGAGAAAGAAAGGCAACUUCAAUAUUAAUCUAUUUACAUUUAACUAAAUCAAACAGAGAUCCAAAUAAUUUAUGCCCUUCUAAAAUCUACGAGAUUUCAACAGAAGAACUCGAUGAACACGCAAUCGACACAAAAUCUAAACUCGAAUUGGGAGAAAGUUAAACAUAAAACAACUAUUCCAAAGCUCAAUCCAUCCGAAACAAGUUCGAAUAAAGAACAAUGAUACGGAAACAAACCUGUUAAGCCGAAAUUCUCUUCAAUUAACAAUAAAGAAGCGAUGAAUACACAUGCCUUAGACUCCGAUAAAUCAGUUGUGAAACAGCAAAAAAGAAACGAACAGAAAUUGUGACUGGAACCUCAAGCAACAGUUGGGAACUCGACUCGGCACCAAGACUCUCGAAUCGAACGCGAACUCAAAUCCAAAUUUCAGUCGAAUUCCAUUUUUAUUCACUCUGUUCUCUGUAUAUGGCUGUGUAAGUGUCUUUGGAUGAGGGGUCGUGACUUUGGUUGAAGAAGAAACAGAAUGUUCAGGGGUCGUUUGGGGUGUCAGCGGCGGGUCUCAACUCUUGGCAUCUAGGUCUAUUUUUUCAUUUUUUGUUCUCUUUUCGGCUGGUUCCAGCGUUGAAAUUUGAAGGGGAAGCUCUGUUUUAUCUUUUGUGUUUCUUCGAAGAAGAUGAAGAAAGGGGUGGGUGGCCGUGUAUGUUGAAGAACGACGGAUCCUUAGAUCUAUGUAUUAGGCCUUAUUUUUGUCUCCCUUUUCAGCCCC